GUCAGCAUAGUCCUAGUGGUUAAGGCUACGGAUCGCCAAUCCGGAGACGGCGGGUUCGAUUCCCGUUCCGGUCG
rnacentral:tRNA from 1 species